rnacentral:tRNA from 1 species
GCGGGCGUAGCUCAGUGGUAGAGCUCCAGCCUUCCAAGCUGGCUACGUGGGUUCAAUUCCCAUCGCCCGCUCCA